GAAGCCCCGGCACCUUUUGGGGUGCUUCUCCAGACUUGCAAUCUGGUGUGCGUCGCACUGCGAGG
rnacentral:tRNA from 1 species